rnacentral:lncRNA from 1 species
CCGUUCUAUCAGUCUCCUGUUCUAUCAGUCUCCUGUUCUAUCAAUCUCCUGUUCUAUCAGUCUCCUGUUCUAUCAGUCUCCUGUUCUACCAGUCUACAGUUCUAUCAGUCUCCUGUUCAAUCAGUCUCCUGUUCCAUCAGCCCACUGAUCUAUCAGUCUCCUGUUCCAUCAGCCCACUGAUCUAUCAGUCUCCUGUUCCAUCAGGCUCCUGUUCUAUCAGUCUCCUGUUCUAUCAGGCUCCUGUUCUAUCAGUCUCCUGUUCUACCAGUCUCCUGUUCUAUCAGUCUCUCAGCCAGUUGAACAUUAUAUCCUGUUCAAUCAGUCUCCUGUUCUAUCAGUAUCAUGUUCUAUCAGUCUCCUGUUCUAUCAGUCUCCUGUUCUAUCAGUAUCAUGUUCUAUCAGUCUCCUGUUCUAUCAGUCUCCUGUUCUAUCAGUCUACAGUUCUAUCAGUCUCCUGUUCAAUCAGUCUCCUGUUCCAUCAGCCCACUGAUCUAUCAGUCUCCUGUUCUAUCAGGCUCCUGUUCUAUCAGUCUCCUGUUCUAUCAGGCUCCUGUUCUACCAGUCUCCUGUUCUAUCAGUCUCUCAGCCAGUUGAACAUUAUAUCCUGUUCUAUCAGUCUCCUGUUCUAUCAGUCUCCUGUUAUAUCAGCCUCUCAGCCAGUUGAACAUUAUAUCCUGUUCUAUCAGUCUCCUGUUCUAUCAGUUUCCUGUUUUAUCAAUCUCCUUUGCUAUCAGUCUCCUGUUCUAUCCGCCUUUAAGUCAGUUGAACAUUAUAUCCUGUUCUAUCAGUCUCCUGUUCUAUCAAUCUCCCAUUCUAUCAGUCUCCUGUUCUAUCAGUCUCCUGUUCUAUCAGUCUCCUGUUCCAUCAGCUUCCUGUUCUACCAGUCUCCUGUUCUAUCAGUCUCUCAGUCAGUUGGACAUAAUAUCCUGUUCUAUCAAUCUCCUGUUCUAUCAGUCUCCUGUUCCAUCAGCUUCCUGUUCUACCAGUCUCCUGUUCUAUCAGUCUCCUGUUCUACCAGUCUCCUGUUCUAUCAGGCUCCUGUUCUAUCAGUCUCCUGUUCUAUCAGUCUCCUGUUCUACC